ensembl:lncRNA
UCAAAAUGUUCUCUUGCUGAGCCUGGCUAUCACACAAUAUUAACAAUCUACCAUUUCCAAUGAACUGGGCUAAUUUCACUUCACCUACCUCUUUCUCUACAGCAUUAGUUAGUCGGAUAGCGUGUAAAUUAAGCCCUCUCUACACUAGCACCACUUUCCACUCCAACACAUCACUACUCUUGCUUCCUACCCUGGCCCUCUUUAUGCUUUCUUUACUAGACGUCCCACUGCUUUCUGUAUCAUGAUCUCUCUUCUUCCUGUCUUUCCACUACCGACCGCCUGUGCUAAUAACGGCAUCAGAGCGCCUCUUGUGGGGUGAUUCCGACACGAGGGAAAAGAUGGCAGAAGUGGAUGCUGUGUUCGAAUCAAGCAGCGCGUCGAGCAAAUUUGGUGAAGAAAAAUGUUUUGAAUUGACAACAAUAGUAGUGAAAACUUGAACAAAAAUAAAAUUGGCUUAAAAUUGGAGUGGAGGAUACGUGUAUGAAUGAUAAUGAAUCACUUCUUGUUGUAAUGCGUUUGUUGAGUAAGGAUGCAUAUGUGGGAAAAACACGUUUGAGGUGUCAAAUGGUUAAGUGUGCGCUGGGAAAAGUGGAGUCUGUCAGAGUGACCAGGAGUGACCUUAUUUUGAUUCAUUGUAUUUCUGAAGAACAGAGUAAGAUUGCAGUGAGCCUCAAAAGAAUGCGAACAACAUAAGUUUUGAACUUGAGUAGAGCACCCGUCAAAGGAGUCAUCUCAGGGGUGAAAAUUGAUGUUCAGGUUCCCGGUGGGUGAAUGGAGAAAAAUAAGAAAGUCUGCUGGUCCUGUUGUUUUUUGAUAAAGAGCAAAUACAUACGCAUGUGAAGCUUGGUUAUGUAAGAUAUUUCAUCCUCAAACCAUUGCAGUGUAAGCGUUGUAAAGGAUUUGGCCAUGUUUCAAAUAUGUGCAGACGGAAGGAGUAUAUUGAAGAACGGUAUGUUGAAGGAGGACAGCGUUGCAAUUGUGGUGGGGAUCAUGAUCCAGCGUUCCUGGAUUGCCCUGUAAGGGUGAAGGAGAUUGACAUGGCAAAAGAAUCCUGUUUCCAUCCCGCACAGUAGGUGGCGAUAUACCAUUGCCAAUAUACCAUAGAAGAAUAAGAAGAUUCGGACACAACGGGGCCUGCAGGAGGACAGGUGACCCUGUACCUGCCUGAAGAAAGUGGGGGUAGGGGGUGCGUGCAGCUGGAAAACAAGACCAAGAUACAUUGUUGGCGGUGGUGCUUCAUGGGACUUUCAUAGUAGGUUAGGAGAGAAUUUUCGCUAAACUUAACCUCAGUCUCCUAACCUGCUAUGUUAAUUCUCCUAACCUGCUGCUUUAAUUUGCCUAACCUUCUGCAUCAAUUCUCUUAACCUGGUACGAAAAAGUCACUUUGGUAUCGAAGUGGCGUGAAGAGAGUCUUUCCCUGUGCUUCAUAGCUUAAAAAGCUUAAACUGAAAGCUGAAAUAACCUUUUAGGUACCAGCAGAGCUUGGGUAAUUAUAUAACUUGUCACAUAUAAUCUUAAAAUUCAAAGGGAAGAUGACUUUAAACAUCUUGUGGCUGCUGCUUAUUUACUAGACCGGGCAUGCUAUUAAACAUAUUAUCGCCUAAUCAGACCAUUUUUACUGAUCCAGCUGGGUGAGCCUUUUGUGAAUUAACACUCGGCACUUUACUUUUUUCCCCAUUACUAUCUAUGACUUUGCUGAGCAGGGUGUUUUCCUCCUCCAGAAACCUGUACUCCAGGGGCUGGGGUGAGAGGGCCGCCUGCACCCCCAGCUCAUAGUGCCCCCCUCCGUUCCCGUCCAGCCGGAGACCCUCCAGCCUGCGUCUGGAGGGUCUGGGGGGCUACUUACUAUGACUGUGAUUUGUGGUUGUCCCUCCAAUCUUAAGAUGAAUGCAAGUCUGAAUGCAAAACUGUAAGUCGUUCUUGAUAAAAGCGUCUGCCAAAUGACUCAAAUGAAUGUUGAGCAUAGCACAAAUGUUCAACCAACCUUUACUUGGUGAUACUUUCUCAAUUACCGACUUGGAAGACAACAUGUCUUCUAAACUUCCAAGUCUAGUUGCAGGAGGUUCAUUUGAAUGUAGAAAAUGCUCCGUUAUUACAUUUAAGAAAUGUUUUGCUCCAUGAAGUAAUCCAACAAUGUGUGCUUCUUUGAUGAAGUUUAACGGUGGUUGACAUCCAAUAAAUGUUGCAUUUACCGCCACCUACUAGACUGGAGUAUAACUCCCUUAUACUUUGCUUGAAAAAAUGAAUAAACCAAUACCCUAAAACUAAACUCACUAAAACAUAUCUGUAUUUUUAAAACACCACCCUACUCCACUAUUUAAAUCUAUUUAGUCCUACUUCAGGCAAACAGCCUGAAAGGAUGGGACAUCCACCACUUAACACACCCUGUAACUCUUCUGAAGUCAAGUCUCGUACACCCAAAUGCCUCUCUGCAGCUGCCACAACAACCUCAAUUAUCUGCGACGUAUAUUCCGUCCCUGCAGUACAGUUGAUAACCAUUGCUAUAAAUGCAAUCUUACUGAAACAUAUCACUUGUUGGACUAUGUACGGUACAGGUACAGAUAUACUACUCACACCACUCCUCUCAGGAUCCCUCCCCAUUGACUCAUCUUCCUCUACUGCCUUCACUGCCUCAGCAUAUGAAAACUUCUGCACUACUCUAACCCUGGAAACCUCAACCUGCCUCUCUCGCACCGGACAUUUCUGAUCCCCAGCCCCAUGGGCACCCCUACAAUUAACACAUACUGUAUUACUACUUUUCCCAAUGCUACACAUUCCUUUGUCUCUCGCCCUUCGGCACACUUCUCACACCUUUGAACUGCCCUCCUACACACUGCUGCCACAUGCCCAUAAGCUCGACACCUGUAACAUCGUAAUGUAUUCGGCACAAAAGCUCGUACAGGAUAACUUAUGUAUCCUAACGUCAAUUUGUCAGGCAAAGGCUCAACAACAGACAACGUCUCUUCUGUUUCACCACUCACACCACCCAGUCUGCGUCGCACCAAACGACAAGCAUCACAAAUACCGGGAAUCUUCCCCUCAGUUGGUAAACUUUCACAUUUCCCGCUACCCCAGUAAUCACUCCUUUUCAAUGGCAGCCUUUUCUUGAGAGAAAAACAAUUUCUUGCCCCCAUUCGUUUAACGCGGAGCGAAACUGCUCCCUCUGACCAGCAGAAACACAAUUAUCACAAGACCACUUUUGGUUACCCUCACCGAUUCCACAGCACCCAACUCUGAUUUCACCCACCCUGAAACCACAAAUGGAUCAGCCAAAAGGCAAGGGUCCACUUUUUCCACUCCCACUGUCAAGGAUUCUUCUUCAUCCUGACACUCGGUGCAAGCCUCGGGCUCCGAGAACUUCACCACACCUACCACCUCUGAUACUAAAGCCUCAUUCACUUCCAUUUCUCAUCCUGUCUCAAUCUCACUCUGCUAACAAUUUCUACUAUUUUUCUUUAACAAACCAUCCCUCUUUUUCCCCACCAUUUUUAACUGACUGGAGCUCACCAUCUUCCUCACUCUCUCUCACUCUCCUCUGCCUCUCUUUUACCCUCCAUUCCUCCUCCAUAUUCCAAGUAUACGUCUCCUUAUGAUAAUACUGCACAUCUCCUGACCUACAUCUUGCUCAUUUAACCGGCUGUCACAAUCUACCUACAAUCAGCACGAACCCCUCGGGAUGUGGAGUUCAACAGUGCAUCACACUUAUAAAGCCACUGCUUCGUCUUGAUAUUCUUCUUUAUCAAUAUCUACCGCAACGCUUUUCCAUUUCAAACACGUUCACUCAUCCAACCACCAUCCACUGUCUCACUUCCUUUUCCUUCCACCUUCCCAAUCCCCUGAAUACUACUCCUGCAAACGCUGUACUAGAAGGAUCCCAACAAUGUGUACGCCACCAUUUUGUCUAUUUCAACUCUUCUCAUUGUUCAAGGCAGGUAAGUGUCAUCAUGACAUGCAGCACGUUGGGGUGGACACACACCUAUCUCAAUCAGUGAGGUGGUUUGAUUAAUCUCGCCCGGCUGCCCAUGUUAGCGUGUUUUGCAAUGACUGCAUUCUAUUUGACUGUGAGCCGGGUGCCCUGCUCUGUCUGAAGGUGAAGUCAGCUCAAAACAAAAGUGAGUAGACUAAUUAAGCACUUGUAGAAAUAAGGGAUUCUGUGUUUUUCCAUGCAGAAGUGGUUGCUUUUGAUAAACGCUUUAUCUGCCUUUCCAAUGAAAACUAGCUAGAAAAUGUGAAAAAAUAUUUGAUGGAAAAGAGAUGUUUCUGGACGAUGCACCAUGCUGCCUUAAUGACAAAAUGACCAAGCAACACAGAUUAAUGUUUGUUUAAGAAGGGUGCUCCUCUAGGGUUGCCAACUGUCCCUUAAUAGCCGGGAUGUCCCUGAUAUUGGGAUAAAUUGAGUUGACCCAUACGGGACCUCCCUUGUCCCGUAUAUUCAUCCAAUCACAGUAUAGCAUAAACGCGCCAAUUCCUGCAAAGUAAUUUCUGUUAUUGUUCAGUCGGUUUGGCAUAUCAAGGAAAUAUGGAUAAACCUGCAAAAAAGACUGUGCAGCUACAGCAAAUAAUGUGAAGCAAAAAAUACAUGGGUUAAA